rnacentral:rRNA from 1 species
CACCGCGGUCAUACGAUUAAUCCAAAUUAAUAGAUCACGGCGUAAAGAGUGUUUAUGGUAACCUAACAAUAAAGUCAAAUAAAGCCCGAGCCGUAAAAUGCUACCGGCCCACUAAGAACAAUAACGAAAGUAACUUUAUUACAUCAGACUACACGAUAAUUAAGACC